GCCUCUCCGAGCUCCGGCGGCCGGCCGGCGAACGUGGCCGCUCCCAGACGUCGGCUGCUAGUACUAGGCAACCGACCGACACGUUUCCGACUGAACCGAAUCGAACCAAACCGACCGAGCCGUAACUUUUACUAGGUUGCUCCAGUCAGUCCCAAACCAGACCCACCCACCUUCCGCUGCCGGCGACCAGCUGCAGUGGAGCAGCUCAUCUGCGCCUCCCUCCCAUCUCCUUCCACCAACCAUCCCUCUCCGCGCGCCUUCCCGGCCGUCGAGGAUGCCGCGCGCUGGCGCGAGGUCCAGCCCGCCGGACUCUCCACUGGCUCAUCGUCAUCGCAGCGGAGCCGGGGCUCGCAACCACCAGGUUUCCGGCGCGUAUCCUCAAGCGCGCUGGCUCAUCUCUGUCUCCUCGCUGCUAUGCCAGCGACGUCCACGACCUCCUCUCCUCCCCGCACCUCCAGCUCCAAUGGCAGCAUGCCCGUCAUCUGCUCGAUGAAAUGUCUGUGCCCAGUCUACUCGAGGGCAAUUAACUCUUCUACAACAGAAACUAUCUGGAAGCAGCAGCUCACUAUACUGAAGCCCUGAAAAGAAUCCAAAUGAACCCGUAGUUUUUAGAAACACAGUUCAAGGUGACAUCUUUCUCGGAGCUCUGCCUGAAGGUCUGGAUAAUGCGGGAAAAUGCAUUGAGCUGGAUCCUACUUAUCUGGUGGGUUAUACAUGUCGAAGGUUCAAGCCCUGAUGCAGAAUUAUGAAAGUGCUAUGGCAACAUACAUAGAGGGUUUGAAGUGUGAUCCAAACAGUACCAUUGUAAUUGAUGGCUUUAAGAGAUGUGUGACAUGCAUUGAGAGGUCUAAAGGCGGUGACGUUGGAAGGAUUUAGAAGACAUUUUGCAGGGAACAAAUAAACUGUACCUUGACUGGCAAGGUGCCUACAUAUGGUUAAGUACCACUUAGAAAUCUUAAAACAGCCAGGACAUCAGAGGCAAAACAGGUUGAACGACAGAAGGAAACUGAGGAACAUCUUUCCAAAAUACAACAAGAGUUGCAACAAGUUAAAGCAACAGAAAAUGUGGUCGCUGAUGAGAGCAUAAUGAGCAUGUUCAACAUGAGUUCUUGGAGUCCAGAAGGUCAUAGUGAGGAACUUCAGAAAGCCAAUGAGCAUAGUUUGAAUCUUCAACAUCAACUCUCGGAAUCCAAAGAGCGGUAUUAGCUUCAGUCCAAGCAUGACGACUUGCUAAGGGAACGAAAUACUGCACUCAAAGAGGUAGAAAUGUUAUGCCGGAGAAGAGGUCCGGCGAUGCCCUGCCAGUUUUUAUUAUCUGAACUGGAGUGUGCAACAUAAAAUUUCAGUACUUCAAUGAAGUUCAGAGAAUGCAGGUUUGCGUCUGUGUACCGAGGUGUCUUCCAGAGCAUGGAAGUUGCAGUAAAUGUCCCGGUCUCUAGUUAAAUCA